GCGUGCGGGAAGAAGGCCUUCGGGUUGUAAACCGCUUUUGUCAGGGAAGAAAUCUUCUGGACUAAUACUCUGGGAGGAUGACGGUACCUGAAGAAUAAGCACCGGCUAACUACGUGCCAGCAGCCGCGGUAAUACGUAGGGUGCAAGCGUUAAUCGGAAUUACUGGGCGUAAAGCGUGCGCAGGCGGUUAUGCAAGACAGGUGUGAAAUCCCCGAGCUCAACUUGGGAACUGCACUUGUGACUGCAUAGCUAGAGUACGGUAGAGGGGAGUGGAAUUCCGCGUGUAGCAGUGAAAUGCGU
rnacentral:rRNA from 1 species